GGAUAAUCUACCCUUAGGACUGGGAUAACCUUGGGAAACUGAGGAUAAUACCGGAUAGGCAAUUAUUCCUGUAAUGGUUUUUUGUUUAAAUGUUUUUUCGCCUAAGGAUGAGUCUGCGGCCGAUUAGGUAGUUGGUUAGGUAAUGGCUUACCAAGCCGUUGAUCGGUACGGGUUGUGAGAGCAAGAGCCCGGAGAUGGAACCUGAGACAAGGUUCCAGGCCCUACGGGGUGCAGCAGGCGCGAAACCUCCGCAAUGUGAGAAAUCGCGACGGGGGGAUCCCAAGUGCCAUUCUUAACGGGAUGGCUUUUCAUUAGUGUAAAGAGCCUUUGGAAUAAGAGCUGGGCAAGACCGGUGCUAGCCGCCGCGGUAACACCGGCAGCUCUAGUGGUAGCAAUUUUUAUUGGGCCUAAAGCGUCCGUAGCCGGUUUAAUAAGUCUCUGGUGAAAUCCUGUAGCUUAACUGUGGGAAUUGCUGGAGAUAUUAUUAGACUUGAGACCGGGAGAGGUUAGAGGUACUCCCAGGGUAGAGGUGAAAUUCUGUAAUCCUGGGAGGACCGCCUGUUGCGAAGGCGUCUAACUGGAACGGUUCUGACGGUGAGGGACGAAAGUUAGGGGCGCGAACCGGAUUAGAUACCCGGGUAGUCCUAACUGUAAACGAUUCGGACUUGGUGUUGGGGUGGCUUUGAGCUGUCUCAGUGCCGAAAGGAAGCUGUUAAGUCCGCCGCCUGGGAAG
rnacentral:rRNA from 1 species